GUGCUCUUUUAGCCUUACCAUCAGCUGACGGCUUAAGUGUUAACCAGCUCAAUAGACCCUCUGCCUUUUUGCAAGCGCAGAGGGUCAGUGUGACAGUUUCUGUAUCUCAGCUCUUGUCUCACCUCCCAGAAGAAUCAGGUCACACAUGGACUUGAAGGAUGAACACCAGAGACUGGGUAAUUAAUAAAAAGAAGAAAUUGAUCUGGCCUACAGUUCUGGAGCCUUGGAAGUCCGAGAUCAAGGAGCUGCAUCUGGGUUCUAGGAUGCCUCAUAAAGGCCCGUAGUGUACUUUCUGUCUACUUCACUUAGCUCCGCAUUUGCAAUUUCUGUUAACAUGCAUACAGUUGAAUGGAUGGCCAGGAUCAAAGCUAUCUGCUGUGAGACACAAUGAGAAAUGCUUUUGUGUAAAGGAAAACACAGAUCCUGGUGCCGAACAUGAGGACAGGGCAGGCCGAAGGAGAAAGUGGAAGGAGGGGAGCUUCUCUCUCAGCCUCAUCCUUCUGGGCCUGGAUGCUGGAGAGUCAUGAGGUGCUUCAGAGUACUCUGGGUGAGGAGGGAAAGAUGGUGCCCACCACAUGGAGGCCAGCCUAGGUCUUGUAUGAAACCUGUGAGGCCAGCAGGAGCCAGGCCGUGGCCUGCUGACUGCAUCUGCCAGAUGACUACCAAUGUGUGAGUAAACCCAUUCUCAAGCCCAAGAGAACCUCUCAGCUGAACCAGGCCCAAGUUGCUCACCCACUGAACUGCCAGUUAAAUAAAUGGUGGUUGUUUUAAUCCACUAAAUGCUGGGAUGGUUUGUUAUACAGCAGUAGGUAUCAAUACAGUGUACUUGUCAAUCUAGGAAUUCCUGUCUUGUCAAAUCUGAGAAAAUUCUCGGUCACUGUCACUUCAAAUAUUACUUCUUUCCCAUUUUCUAUUCACUCAUUCCAAAACUCCUAGUGGAUGUCUUUUCUGUCAUUUCUGGUUCUGUCUUUUGUGAUCUUAAACUUUCAUUCAUUGUUUUUCCAUUUUUACUUCCGUGUUACAUUUUGAGUCAUUUCCUUAGUUCCAGUUUGCUUAUUUUCUAUUCAACCAUUAAAUAUUUCUAUUUAGUUUUAAGUUUCAGUGGCUAUAAGUUUCAUUUAUAAAAGAACUAUUUGGUUAUUUUCUAAAUCUGCAUUUUGUUUUCACAU
ensembl:lncRNA ZBED3-AS1 ZBED3 antisense RNA 1